rnacentral:rRNA from 1 species
UGGGGAAUAUUGCGCAAUGGGCGGAAGCCUGACGCGGCGACGCCGCGUGGGGGAUGACGGCCUUCGGGUUGUAAACCUCUUUCAGCAGGGACGAAGCGCAAGUGACGGUACCUGCAGAAGAAGCACCGGCCAACUACGUGCCAGCAGCCGCGGUAAUACGUAGGGUGCAAGCGUUGUCCGGAAUUAUUGGGCGUAAAGAGCUCGUAGGCGGUCUGUCGCGUCGGCUGUGAAAACCCGGAGCUCAACUCCGGGCCUGCAGUCGAUACGGGCAAACUAGAGUACUGCAGGGGAGACUGGAAUUCCUGGUGUAGCGGUGAAAUGCGCAGAUAUCAGGAGGAACACCGGUGGCGAAGGCGGGUCUCUGGGCAGUAACUGACGCUGAGGAGCGAAAGCGUGGGGAGCGAACAGGAUUAGAUACC